AUUGAACGCUGGCGGCAUGCUUUACACAUGCAAGUCGGACGGCAGCACAGAGAAGCUUGCUUCUUGGGUGGCGAGUGGCGAACGGGUGAGUAACAUAUCGGGACGUACCGAGCAGUGGGGGAUAACUAAUCGAAAGAUUAGCUAAUACCGCAUAUUUUCUGAGGAAGAAAGCAGGGGACCUUUGUGCCUUGCGCUGUUUGAGCGGCCGAUAUCUGAUUAGCUAGUUGGUGGGGUAAAGGCCUACCAAGGCGACGAUCAGUAGCGGGUCUGAGAGGAUGAUUCGCCACACUGGGACUGAGACAGGGCCCAGGCUCCUACGGGAGGCAGCAGUGGGGAAUUUUGGACAGUGGGCGCAAGCCUGAUCCAGCCAUGCCGGGUGUCUGAAGAAGGCCUUCGGGUUGUAAAGGACUUUUGUCAGGGAAGAAAAGGGCGGGGUUAAUACCCCUGUCUGAUGACGGUACCUGAAGAAUAAGCACCGGCUAACUACGUG
rnacentral:rRNA from 1 species